CCCCCACAACGGCUUCCUGGCGUGGUGGGUUCACCCCAACGGAGCA
rnacentral:ncRNA from 1 species